GACGAACGCUGGCGGCGUGCUUAACACAUGCAAGUCGAACGGAAAGGCCCUGCUUUUGUGGGGUGCCCGAGUGGCGAACGGGUGAGUAACACGUGAGUAACCUGCCCUUGACUUUGGGAUAACUUCAGGAAACUGGGGCUAAUACCGGAUAGGAGCUCCUGCUGCAUGGUGGGGGUUGGAAAGUUUCGGCGGUUGGGGAUGGACUCGCGGCUUAUCAGCUUGUUGGUGGGGUAGUGGCUUACCAAGGCUUUGACGGGUAGCCGGCCUGGGAGGGUGACCGGCCACAUUGGGACUGAGAUACGGCCCAGACUCCUACGGGAGGCAGCAGUGGGGAAUAUUGCACAGUGGGCGGAAGCCUGAUACAGCAACGCCGCGUGCGGGAUGACGGCCUUCGGGUUGUAAACCGCUUUCGCCUGUGACGAAGCGUGAGUGACGGUAAUGGGUAAAGAAGCACCGGCUAACUACGUG
rnacentral:rRNA from 1 species